rnacentral:tRNA from 1 species
GGAGGUAUAGCUCAGUGGUAGAGUGCCUGUUUAGCAUGCUCAAGGUCCUGGGUUCAUUCCCCAGCACCUCCA